GCAUGAUUACUCUCCGUCUCUAUCUUGCUCCCUCUUCUCUUCUCCCAACUCCAUCACGUUUGACUCUAGAUCAGACGAGGAUCUGAUGAAGUUUUCGUAAGCAGCUAGCUAGCUCUUAGUCUCCUCUGCUUCGCAGGCCAGAUCUUUCACUUCUCGUGUCCUUGCCUUUUCUAGAUCAUUAUUUAUUUGUUGUUUCUCUGAUCAAGCAUAGAGUUGAAAGUUUUACGUUUUAUGGGUUAGAUCUUGUGAAUCUUUUCUUAGUUGUCAGGAAGUUGCUUAAGCACCUGUUUUUGA